UACAGAGGUGGCAAGCGUUGUUCGGAAUUACUGGGCGUAAAGGGCGCGUAGGUGGCCUGUUAAGUCGAACGUGAAAUCCCCGGGCUCAACCCGGGAACUGCGUCCGAGACUGGCAGGCUCGAAUCCGGGAGAGGGAUGUGGAAUUCCAGGUGUAGCGGUGAAAUGCGUAGAUAUCGAGAGGAACACCUGCGGCGAAGGCGGGUAGCUGGGCCGACACUGACGCUGAGGCGCGAAAGCCAGGGGAGCGAACGGG
rnacentral:rRNA from 1 species